GGGGACCAUUCAUUCAGUCAGUCGGUCGCCAGCUACCCGCGAGGACGUACUAAACUUUCGUUGUACCAACUGACAAACUAUUUGACUUAUUUGACUCAUUUGCCGUAUCAACGAUACUUACAACUGGACCCCUGAACGGUAUUCAACUAAUGCUUCUACUGUUAGACGAGACGAACCCGCAGACGAGGCCGCACUCCGCGUGGCCGUACCCCGGACCACUGAGAACAACUGCCCUCCUCUCCACCAGCGAUAACAGACUCCCAAAACAUUGCCCAGGCCGGCGGGCGUGGAGAUACGUAGCCCCUUUGCCUUCUCUAAACCAGGGAUACAGACACAAAAAGUUGCAAUACCAUGUGCCUGAGCUAGUGCGCAAGCUCUAGCCGGCAGUUGCCGUGCUAAAGCCGGGACAAUCACAUAUGCCAGAAGCCGUGGUCACAGCUGACUCAAGCCUCCCGGUCACAGAGCUGAUCAUGACAACUGACUCCAGUCUCCUUUGUGUAAAAUUUUGCUUCGAUAUU